AUUUUUUCCUUUUUUUUGCUCCGCAACAUUUUUUUCAAAAAGGACUACAAAUUUUUUCCUGAUAAUAAUAAAGGAGCUAUUGCUUCUGCCCACCUGCUCACCGUCGCGCCUGUUUUGCAAAACAACUUUUUUUUUAAUUUAACCCGCGGUCCCCUUUUUAAGUGGAUCUGGAAAACGUUUCGAUCUUACAAAAAGGACCUUGGAUUAGGGAGUAUUCAACCCGCAAUCCUUACGUUUCGUUUUUUGUGCAGGCGGCGGCCAUGACAGGGAGGGGCGGCGACGCUGCGCUCAGGCAGCGCAUCAGGCGGCGGCAGGGAGGCGGGAGGUGCGCGACGGAGACGAAGGAGGAGAAAAUAGAGAGGCGUGGAGGAGAGGCGCGCGAGCGGGAAGGGCUGGCGAGUCGACCACGACGCGGACGAGACCAGCGGCGGCCUUGCAGCGGCUUGCGGUGGUGCAGUCGGCGAGGACCUGCCGAAUCUCGCCGGAUCCGGUGGAAAAUGGCGCAUAGGAGGCGGAUCUGGAAGGAAGUCAGCCAGAGCUCAGAGCACGAUGGCUGCGGGCGCGGCAUGGCUUCGGGUACUGCUGCUGCUCGGCGGUGGGAGAGAAAAGGGAAGACGGGAGGAAGGAGAUGGGAGGCCGGAGGGAGAGAAGGGAGCGGUGAGGUAGGGUGGUGGUGCUUGCGGGCGGGAUGUCCCUCGACGCCGGCACCGUGGCCAUACCAUCUGAAGAUGUGGGGAGUCCCUGGAGUCCUGGACACUGCCUUUGAGGAGCACGGCGACUGCCAGUGCCUGGAGGCCAAGCCAUUCGGUGUGACCGUCAUGCCCGUACUUUCCUGCCACUUCCGGUCUUCCCAACUCGACGGCAAGUACCAAGCAGCAGCUCAGCCAAACCCCGACAACAAGUGCUGAACCGGUUCACAGACUAGCCUGAUUGAUUCAAUCCCCACGUGCUUGUGUCAAUGCCUGCAAGGGAGCAAGCGUACUGGAGUUAUGGUUGGAUGGAGAGUAAUUUGCUACAAAGCUUUACUAUUUAUGGUUAUUUCCUAAAUCUGUGAUUUAAUAUAUAAUGCAUUCUGUAGAAACCAAAAUAAUGUUCGUAGAGAUCCGUUUUUACCAUAUUUCUGCCAUUCAUUUCUGAUUUGAGAAAAUUGCUCAGAAUUAGGUAAUAUCAUUUAUGCUUGUGUUAUCUCUAUCAUUUUAUGGUUUAGCACCAGUCGCACACUGUGGUUACCGUGUGUGGCUUGAAUCAAAUAGCAUGUGAUUGAGCAAAUGAACGAAACAUAGGUGAAACAUUUAUUUUUUUAGUAGAGAUGGGUGCUACGUACAUUCCAUCAAGUGUUCCCUUUAAUUUUUCAUAGUUUACAUUGAGACACAAUAAUUGCUUAAAGCAUGUUUUUGACUGCAGUGUUGCUCGCUAGCAUCUCCACCAUGCAUCUUGUCACUGACAGAAACCCCAUCUUGUCACUGAUAGAACCCCAGGAUCUUCCACCUGCAGCAAACAAAUAAAAGGACUUUAUUUAUGGGCUCAUAAAUUGGUUGUAUCCACGACUCAGGGUUGAUAUGUCCUUGCAUGAGCAAGAUGCCGUAUCUACAUGGAAGGUUACUACAGCACUACACAUAUCUUGUAGAGGUUUUUCUUUUGCUGAAAAUAGCAGGUGAGUGUUAAUAUUUUGCAGGUUCUGUAUUUCACAAUAUUUCGUAUGUUUAAAGGAUAAACUUCCACAACUCUUUUCACUUCUGCAAGUGAACAACUUGGAUCACUUAUGAUGUUUGUUGUGCUAUACCUGUAACUGAAAUAUGUAGUGUAGCGCAUGUUACACUAUCUGCUUGUCCAGAAACUGGAAUAGCUAGCCGAUGUUGGAUAGCGGAGGAUCCUUAUAUUUAUGUUGAUAGUUGUCGAGGAUUUGUUGGUUGUUACCUAAAGGACAUUUGCUAUGGCCCCGUUGCAACUCACAUGCUCUUUUGCUCUGGUUGAUGGAGAAGUUGCAGUAGGCUGAAGAGAUCCAUCAAGGCCGACGGCCAGGAGAUGAAACAGUGAGCGACACAGGGUGCCGGUGCAUGUUGUGGCAGCUGUGUAGUCGACCAACGAGUAUUGGCUCUCAUACCUUCAGGUUACUUUGAGAAACUACACAUAUCUGCAGAAUGUACUAAUUGUGCACUGUGCUUGAUGUAGAGUGGUUUUUUCCAUGUUGGCAUACGAGUACUAAUCAAUGUGAGCUUCAGUUACACUGGGAACAUAUGAUCGAAUGCCCAAUCAUAAUUUAUGUUGUACCUGAUAUUCGGAGCCGAUGUCCAAUACUUUUAGCUGUAUAUUCUGAUCUAUGAUCAACAUUUGUAAUAUAGGCAGAUGGAGCUAAUGAUAUAUUCACUCACGAGGUUAGUAGUUGAUAGCUAAUACAAAGAAGGCUUCUUUCUGCUAUGUAAGGAUUGUACAAAAACUCCCGGAUUUGGUAGAAAACUUCAUGGGUCUCGCUGCAUCAUUACUGAGGGAAAAACACAAUGGUGUUUUGAUAUCUGUAGUUCAACUCUUCACGGAAUUGUGUAAAGCCAACAAAGAUGCAAUGGAGUACCUGAGGAAGAACUGCAUCAAAGGUGACACAUAUAUUACGGAAAAGGAAAAAACAGCUGGAAACCAUAAGAAUUCGUUUACAAAGAAGACAUUGUUUAGAGAGAUCGAGAAGAUUCCAUCUGUCUUUAAUCCAGAAAAGGA